rnacentral:lncRNA from 1 species
AUAAAAUAGGAGAAUUGCGUUGCCAGAGCUAUUCAAGACUGGAACUGCUGGAGUUGUAUCGUUUUUAAGUUGCUUGUAGGCGCUAGUGCAAUUUUAAUAAAAGAGGAGAGAUGAUGAGGUGUCAUGGUGAUGGCUACCGCCAAUGAAGAGGAGAAUGAUAGACUUAAUGAAGGUAGUAAGUAGGGUUUGAGUUGUAAGCAGAUGUAUACAAUUUUCAAGAGAAUAAUAAAUAUGU